GACCUAGUAAAUAAGGAUGGGGAAUCCAGGGAUGAGGUGGUUGUUAAGCUCCCCAGGUGAUUCCAAGCAUAGCACAGUGGAGAACAGGUGCGCCCAGACCACACCAGAAGAGUGAGUGUUGUAUAAAGUGGGGGUGGGGCAGGAAUUUGUGGCUCUUCCUGGGGCUCAACCACAGCUGCAUCUAACUACCCUUGAGAAGCAAACAAGCCCACAGUCCUUCCUGGGCUGCCCUCAGCAGUGUGACAAGAUCCCCAGACAAGGAAGUGGCAUCCUCCUACUGUGUUUACAUCAGAGGUUCUUCACCAGGAAGUUGAUACCUCACCCUGCUGCUGCCCAGCUUGCUGAUUCUGCUCCCACAGGGCACCCCUCGUUGGGCGAGGACCUCAGCUUGACAACACCCUUCUCCAGCUCUGUACUCCUACAGGCCCUGAAGAAAUGAUUGAGACAUAGGCUUUUCUUGGUUUUGGUGAGUCGUGAUUCAUGCUUACAAAGAAGGCAGGAGACUGAUUCAUGUUGAUUUAAUAAAUCUAUGAAUAUUCUCAAGAAGUGGCUGAUAAAUGGACAGC
rnacentral:lncRNA from 1 species